GUGUGGAACUGGUUGCCAUGGCAAAUGAUGGAGCAAGGGGCCAUGGCAGGUGCCAGAUCAUUUGAUGAAUAGACUCCAGGCAGAAGGAUGGUACGGGGAGACAAGCUAGAGGGCUCUGUAGGAGUCCAGAUGACCAGUCACGGUAAGGGUCAUCAGUGAUUGAAGGAGCCAGAGUUCGGAUGAUUUUGGAGUCAUGCUGAUGGGAUUUGCUCAAGGAUGAGAGGCAGUGAAUGAAGAAGACAGAGACUCGGGAAGACAGGGCCUUUGCACUGAUGGCUCCUGAACCUUUGACCAUCCCCGAGCAGCUCUUUGUCACCUUGCUGAUCUCAGCUGAUAUGACGCACUUCAGAGAUGCCUUCAUCGACCACCACAGAUGUCCUCCCAGUGCCACCUCUGUCCCAUCACCUCACAGCUCUUGUGACAUGCUGGGGUUCUUUUAUUUAUACCCUGCCCUGUCUGCAAUCUUUUCCAAGGCUGGACUAUCAUCUCUAUGCGGACGGGCCUGGUCGGGCGCCUUGGUACUUACUCCUCUCUACAAAGUAUCUAUAGAGGUGGCAUCUACAGACACCAAAAGAUUAAACGGACAAGAGAGGCGGCCUGGGAUGGGCUCAGGCACACUCAGCCAGGCCCCUGGGGGAAGUCACCCUGGGUUCUCCAUGGAUGGCCAUGGGUCAGUGGUCUGGCCUCUGUAUGGAAACACAGAAAGGUCAGAAAGGUCUACAGUGAGUGUUUGUGAAACCUGGUUCCCUCUGUCACAUCACCUGAGAAGAUCUGGGGUGGGGGAGUGAAAGGUGCUAAAU